rnacentral:rRNA from 1 species
GACCUCAAAUCAGGUAGGAACACCCGCUGAACUUAAGCAUAUCAAUAAGCGGAGGAAAAGAAAAUAACAAUGAUUCCCCUAGUAACUGCGAGUGAAGAGGGACAAGCUCAAAUUUUAAAUCUGUCGGGUUUACUGAUCGAGUUGUAAUUUGAAGAAGCGUUUUCUGCGUAUUUGGUCAGCCCAAGUCCUAUUGAAUGAGGCAUCAUGGAGGGUGAUAAUCCCGUCCGGUUGAUCAUUGCGUUUUAUGAUACGCUUUCUAAGAGUCAAGUUGUUUGGGAUUGCAGCUUAAAAUGGGAGGUAAAUUUCUCCUAAGGCUAAAUAACGGCGAGAGACCGAUAGCGAACAAGUACCGUGAGGGAAAGAUGAAAAGAACUUUGAAAAGAGAGUUAAACAGUACGUGAAAUUGUUGAAAGGGAAACGAUUGAAGCCAGUCGUACCUAUGGGUAAUCAGCCUUUUGGGUGUGAUUUUGUGGAGCGUGAAGAGUUAAACGCCUUCAUGCCUGCAUAUUCGUGCACUUUGGGUGUACUUGCCCGUGUGUAAGUUAACAUCAAUUUUGGUGGUCAUAAAAUGGCUGGAGGAAUGUAGCUUCGAUCUUGUAUUGAAGUGUUAUAGCCUUCGGUAGAUGUGACGAUCGGGAUUGAGGAUUGCAACGGAUACCCUUCGGGGCUACCUGUCUGAUCUCUGAUUGUUGCUCUGGUACCGAAAGCUUGCUUACGGUUAUCAAAGUCGAUGGUCAAUAGGUUAGAACGGGUUAAAUUCGUUAAGGAUGUWGACGUAAUGGCUYUAAACGACCCGUCUUGAAACACGGACCAAGGAGUCUAACAUAUAUGSGAGUGUUAGGGUGAUUAAACC